AAUGGCAAUGGCUGGUCUAUGUGAGGAUGGGGAAUGGCCUAGAAGGAGCAGCACCAUGGCUGAAAUGAGAGCAGAUGUCCCGAUGAUGCCACAAGGGUGUGUGGUUGCUUAAAUGACCCAUCUGCUCCUACUGAAAUAAUUAACAAGUAUCCUCAUGACAGAGUACAUUAUUUAGAUGAAAUGACCAGGAUGGGACUAAGCAAUUCUGGGGGACCCAGAGAGGAGAUGAAGGAGGAGGAAUAUGGUGGUUCUCUGGUCCACCUGUUGCUGAGUCAGGCGUCAUCAAUGAUCUCUCAGCACUGCCCAACUCAGCCCCAUGCCAGGUUCCUAGAAGGCCCGCAGCCCUGCUGAGCGUGGCCCAGGACAGACCAUAGGUCAGAGAGGUUUGGGACAGUGGUCAUAUGGCCAGUCCCCAGGAAGGUGACUGUGAUCACAGGCCUCAGAGGUCGAGGAUAAUUUUCUGACCAAAGACCCAACUUCUUCUUCUUCAGUCACCUGUGCUGCCCCCACAGCUAGUUUGAGUGACAUCUUUCAAUGAGGAGUCCCAGAAGAUAGAAAUUUGCAUGAACAACAAGCACUUACUGCCCCAUAGGGCGUGGGAAGGAAUAAGAGAAGCCUAGGGAGCCCAGCUGUGCUGUGGGCUCAGGAGGCAGAGCUCUGGGUGUCUCACCAUGGCCUGGAUUCCUCUCCUACUCCCCCUCCUCACUUUCUGCACAGGCUCUGCAGCCUCCUAUGAGCUGACACAGCCACCCUCGGUGUCAGUGUCCCCAGGACAGACGGCCAGGAUCACCUGCUCUGGAGAUGCAUUGCCAAAAAAAUAUGCUGAUUGGUACCAGCAGAAGCCAGGCCAGUCCCCUGUGCUGAUCAUCUAUGAGGACAGCAAACGGCCCUCUGGGAUCCCUGAGAGAUUCUCUGGCUCCAGCUCAGGGACAGUGGCCACCUUGACUAUCAGUGGGGCCCAGGUGGAGGAUGAAGCUGACUACUACACUACUGUAUACUCAGACAGAUAGCAUGGUAAUCA